AGGCUUUACUGGAAAUUGAUUAUUUUGAAAUUAAUCUAAGAACGUUCGAUUCGUUCAAAAGCUUA
rnacentral:tRNA from 1 species